rnacentral:rRNA from 1 species
ACGGGUGAGUAAUGUCUGGGAAACUGCCCGAUGGAGGGGGAUAACUACUGGAAACGGUAGCUAAUACCGCAUAACGUCGCAAGACCAAAGAGGGGGACCUUCGGGCCUCUUGCCAUCGGAUGUGCCCAGAUGGGAUUAGCUAGUAGGUGGGGUAACGGCUCACCUAGGCGACGAUCCCUAGCUGGUCUGAGAGGAUGACCAGCCACACUGGAACUGAGACACGGUCCAGACUCCUACGGGAGGCAGCAGUGGGGAAUAUUGCACAAUGGGCGCAAGCCUGAUGCAGCCAUGCCGCGUGUAUGAAGAAGGCCUUCGGGUUGUAAAGUACUUUCAGCGAGGAGGAAGGCGUUGUGGUUAAUAACCGCAACGAUUGACGUUACUCGCAGAAGAAGCACCGGCUAACUCCGUGCCAGCAGCCGCGGUAAUACGGAGGGUGCAAGCGUUAAUCGGAAUUACUGGGCGUAAAGCGCACGCAGGCGGUCUGUCAAGUCGGAUGUGAAAUCCCCGGGCUCAACCUGGGAACUGCAUCCGAAACUGGCAGGCUAGAGUCUUGUAGAGGGGGGUAGAAUUCCAGGUGU